CAUUCACGGAGAGUUUGAUCCUGGCUCAGGACGAACGCUGGCGGCGUGCUUAACACAUGCAAGUCGAACGAUGAACCUCCUUCGGGAGGGGAUUAGUGGCGAACGGGUGAGUA
rnacentral:rRNA from 1 species